rnacentral:rRNA from 1 species
GCCUACGGGGCGCAGCAGUGAGGGAUAUUGGUCAAUGGGGGAAACCCUGAACCAGCAACGCCGCGUGAGGGAAGACGGUUUUCGGAUUGUAAACCUCUGUCCUCUGUGAAGAUAAUGACGGUAGCGGAGGAGGAAGCUCCGGCUAACUACGUGCCAGCAGCCGCGGUAAUACGUAGGGAGCGAGCGUUGUCCGGAUUUACUGGGCGUAAAGGGCGCGUAGGCGGCCCUGCAAGUCAGAAGUGAAAUCCAUG